AUAUGAAACCAAGAAGCUGCAUUUUCACAGCAUCUGCCCUCAUAACUAACUGCAGCGGAUGAGCCAAUGGAAGAGAAAUCACUGGGAAUAUGAAAUAGGUCAGCCAAAUGUAUAAAAUGUUCACAGGUGUAAUGCAUAGGUCUCCAAUUGAGUAAAGUAUCCCUCCUGUGAAAAUGCACAUUGUUGUGAAAGAUGAAAGAAACACUCCAGCACGGAAGAGAAAUCAAUGGGAAUAUGAAAUAGGUCAGCCAAAUGUAUAAAAUGUUCACAGGUGUAAUGCACAGGUCUCCAAUUGAGUAAAGUAUCCCUCCUGUGAAAAUGCACAUUGUUGUGAAAGAUGAAAGAAACACUCCAGCAAGGCUUCCAGCUGCAUGAGGGUACU
rnacentral:lncRNA from 1 species